rnacentral:misc_RNA from 1 species
GAUGAAGAACGUAGCGAAAUGCGAUAAGUAAUGUGAAUUGCAGAAUUCAGUGAAUCAUCGAAUCUUUGAACGCACCUUGCACCCUUUGGCUAUUCCGAAGGGUAUGCCUGUUUGAGUAUCAUGAACACCUCAACUCUCAUGGUUUGCCAUGAUGAGCUUGGACUUUGGGGGUCUUGCUGGCCUGUGGUCAGCUCCUCUCAAAUGGAUUAGCUUGCCAGUGUUUGGUGGCAUCACAGGUGUGAUAACUAUCUACGCUUGUGGUUUUCCACCAGGUAACCUUCAGCAAUGGGGGUUCGCUGGGGCUCAUAAAUGUCUCACCUCAGUGAGGACAGCUCUUUGAACGUUUGAUCUCAAAUCAGGUAGGACUACCCGCUGAACUUAAGCAUAUCAAUAAGCGGAGGA